GAUAAACGCUGGCGGCGUGCUUAACACAUGCAAGUCGAACGAAGUCUUUCUUUCGGGUGGCACUUAGUGGUGGACGGGUGAGUAACGCGUGGGUAACCUGCCCUGUACACUGGGACAACAGGUGGAACCGGCUGCUAAUACCGCAUAUACCCUUUGCACUGCAUGGUGCAUAGGGAAAAGACGCAAUCCGGUACAGGAUGGAAUCGCACCUGAUUAGCUGGUUGGCUGGGGGACGGCAUACCACAGCGACGAUCCGUAGCCGAUCUGAGAGGAUGUGCGGACACAUUGGGGGUGAGACACGGCCCAGACUCCUACGGGAGGCAGCAGUGGGGGAUAUUGCACAAUGGAGGGGACUCUGAUGCAGCGACGCUGCGAGAGUGAAGAAGUAUUUCGGGAUAUAAAGCUCUAUCAGCAGGAAAGAAAAUGACGGUACCUGAAGAAGAAGCACCGGCUAACUACGUG
rnacentral:rRNA from 1 species